GCUGGAAACUCUGUUUCACAAGUGUAGCCAAAAUCCCGAGCCAAGUGCAAAGCCUCCCCUGUUGGCAGAUAACACGCUCUGGCCAUUAGACCAGACUGACUUCCUAGGUUUUACACAUGAUUCCCAAGCAAAAUGGCCCCAUGGACAAGUCAUUUUGUGGCUGCUGAGCCUACAACCUACUCUUUGUAUAAACGAAAAAAUAACAGCAAAGUAGCAGCAACUAACAUUUAUUAGGGUUGCCCUCUCCCCUGGCUGGUCCGCCUCUGGUUCUCUUCAGAGUCGGUGGCUCCACCUGGCCAGUCGUGGAUCUCGGACGCUGUGGCACUCAGCAGGGAAAUCAGGCCGAAGGGACCACCAGCUGUACCUGCCAGUCUCCUGCGCCCUCUUCGCAUUCAGCGGCAGGCAGCUGCGGCUUGGUGAAUUCCGCGAAUUCCGCGCUGGCCCCGGGACCCCCUGGUAACUGAGGUUGCACGAAUUGAGCCGCAACCAUAGGGCCUAGGCACCAACCCUACUUGGGCAUCUUCUUGGGCAUCAAUUCUACUUGAACAAGUUACUUAAUUUU
rnacentral:lncRNA from 10 species